rnacentral:lncRNA from 13 species
CAAGACCUGAACUUUAGAAAAGAGAAUCCUGCAAUAUGCAACAACAUGGAUGAACAUUGAAGACAUUAUGCUAAAUAAAAUAUGCCAGGUAAAAGAUGAUGCAUCUCCUGCUUACCACCAUUGCUACAAGAUGGAUACAUAAUUUCCCCCAAAAUUUUCAUCUACAGUAAAAUCUCUUAACAAUCAAACAAAAAAAAUCUCCUUUUGAAACUGUGCAAAAUAAAAAAGGUCAUUAUUAUAUUUUGCCUUGUAUA